GAGCAGUCUGGUAGCUCGUUGGGCUCAUAACCCAAAGGUCGUCGGUUCAAAUCCGGCCCC
rnacentral:ncRNA from 14 species